rnacentral:rRNA from 1 species
UACGAGGGGGGCAACUGUUGUUCGGAAUCACUGGGCGUAAAGGGCGCGUAGGCGGCUUGGCAAGUGGAAGGUGAAAUCCCUCGGCUUAACCGAGGAACUGCCCUCCAAACUGCUUCGCUUGAGACCGGGAGAGGUGAGUGGAAUUCCCAGUGUAGCGGUGAAAUGCGUAGAUAUUGGGAGGAACACCAGUGGCGAAGGCGGCUCACUGGACCGGUACUGACGCUGAUGCGCGAAAGCGUGGGGAGCAAACAGG